AGAAACCAACCGGGAUUGCCCUAGUAACGGCGAAGUGAAGCGGCAACAGCUCAAAUUUGAAAUCUGGCGCCUUCGGCGUCCGUGUUGUAAUUUGUAGAGGGUAGCUCGGGCCCGCCCCCGUCUAAGUCCCCUGGAACGGGGCGUCGUAGAGGGUGAGAAUCCCGUAUGCGACGGGGUGGCGUGCCCGUGUGAGCUCCCUUCGACGAGUCGAGUUGUUUGGGAAUGCAGCUCUAAAUGGGAGGUAAAUUCCUUCUAAAGCUAAAUACCGGCCAGAGACCGAUAGCGCACAAGUAGAGUGAUCGAAAGAUGAAAAGCACUUUGGAAAGAGAGUUAAAAAGCACGUGAAAUUGUUGAAAGGGAAGCGCUCACGACCAGACUCGGGUGCGGCUGCUCAGCCGGUCUUCUGACCGGUGCAUCGGUUGUACCCGGGCUAGCAUCGGUUCGGGCGGUCGGAUAAAGGUCUCGGGAACGUAGCUCCCCUCGGGGAGUGUUAUAGCCCGGGGCGCAAUGCGGCCUGCCCGGACCGAGGAACGCGUUCGCUAGGAUGCUGGCGUAAUGGUCGUUAGCGGCCCGUCUUGAAACACGGACCAAGGAGUCUACCAUCUGUGCGAGUAUUAGGGUGUCAAACCCUUGUGCGUAAUGAAAGUGAACGGAGGUGGGAACCUUUUGGGUGCACCAUCGACCGAUCCAGAUGUCCUCGGACGGAUUUGAGUAAGAGCACCGCUGGUGGGACCCGAAAGAUGGUGAACUAUGCGCGGAUAGGGUGAAGCCAGAGGAAACUCUGGUGGAGGCUCGCAGCGGUUCUGACGUGCAAAUCGAUCGUCAAAUCUACGCAUAGGGGCGAAAGACUAAUCGAA
rnacentral:rRNA from 1 species